rnacentral:rRNA from 1 species
CAGCAGCCGCGGUAAAACAGAGGGUGCGAGCGUUAAUCGGAUUUACUGGGCGUAAAGCGUGCGUAGGCGGCUUUUUAAGUCGGAUGUGAAAUCCCUGAGCUUAACUUAGGAAUUGCAUUCGAUACUGGGAAGCUAGAGUAUGGGAGAGGAUGGUAGAAUUCCAGGUGUAGCGGUGAAAUGCGUAGAGAUCUGGAGGAAUACCGAUGGCGAAGGCAGCCAUCUGGCCUAAUACUGACGCUGAGGUACGAAAGCAUGGGGAGCAAACAGGAUUAGAUACCCGAGUAGUCCCUGUCUCUUAUAC